CCUACGGGAGGCAGCAGUGGGGGAUAUUGCACAAUGGAGGAAACUCUGAUGCAGCGACGCCGCGUGAGGGCAGACGUUCUUCGGAUUUUAAACCUCUGUCUUUGGGGAAGAAAAUGACGGUACCCAACGAGGAAGCUCCGGCUAACUACGUGCCAGCAGCCGCGGUACUACGUAGGGAGCGAGCGUUGUCCGGAAUUACUGGGUGUAAAGGGAGCGUAGGCGGGCGAGAAAGUUGAAUGUUAAAUCUACCGGCUUAACUGGUAGCUGCGUUCAAAACUUAUUGUCUUGAGUGAAGUAGAGGCAGGCGGAAUUCCUAGUGUAGCGGUGAAAUGCGGAGAUAUUAGGAGGAACACCAGUGGCGAAGGCGGCCUGCUGGGCUUUAACUGACGCUGAGGCUCGAAAGCGUGGGGAGCAAACAGGAUUAGAUACCCCUGUAGUC
rnacentral:rRNA from 1 species